UCAGACUGAAAAUGACUUCCGACCCUCUGCUGGUCUGAGGACAGAUACCUGAGCCCAAAGCAUCACUGUGCAUUAAGCUGAUCAGCUGCUGCCGUAGCAGACUGAUGAAACCAGUGCACACACAUGU